rnacentral:rRNA from 1 species
UACAAAGGAUGCAAGCGUUAUUCGAAAUAAUUGGGCGUAAAGCAUUUAUAGGUGGCUUUUUUAGUCUGCUGUCAAAUCCCUAGGCUCAACCCUGGACAAGUGGUAGAAACUACCAAGUUGGAGUACGGUCGGGGCAGAAGGAAUUUCUAGUGGAGUGGUGAAAUACAUAGAGAUCGGAAAGAACACCAACGACGAAAGCACUUUAUUGGGUUGACACUGACACUGAGAGAUGAAAUCUAGAUGAGCAAAUGAG